rnacentral:sRNA from 1 species
GGCUGAGAACUCUAGGGAGACUGCCGGUGACAAACCGGAGGAAGGUGGGGAUGACGUCAGGUCAUCAUGGCCCUUACGGCCAGGGCUACACACGUGCUACAAUGGCGCGCACAGAGGGCUGCAAACCCGCGAGGGGGAGCUAAUCUCACAAAACGCGUCGUAGUCCGGAUCGGAGUCUGCAACUCGACUCCGUGAAGUCGGAAUCGCUAGUAAUCGUGAAUCAGAAUGUCACGGUGAAUACGUUCCCGGGCCUUGUACACACCGCCCGUCACACCAUGGGAGUGGAUUGCACCAGAAGUGGUUAGUCUAACCUUCGGGAGGACGAUCACCACGGUGUGGUUCAUGACUGGGGUGAAGUCGUAACAAGGUAGCCGUAGGGGAACCUGCGGCUGGAUCACCUCCUUAAACG